AGCACCUACGGGUGUGAAGUCAUUGAUGCCAUGCUUCCAGGAAAAGCCUCUAAGCUUCAGAUUGUAAGGAAUCGUACCCCAAACCGACACAGGUGGUCGGGUAGAGAAUACCAAGGCGCUUGAGAGAACUCGGGUGAAGGAACUAGGCAAAAUGGUACCGUAACUUCGGGAGAAGGUACGCUCUUGAUGGUGAAGUCCCUCGCGGAUGGAGCUGACGAGAGUCGCAGAUACCAGGUGGCUGCAACUGUUUAUUAAAAACACAGCACUGUGCAAAAUCGUAAGAUGACGUAUACGGUGUGACGCCUGCCCGGUGCCGGAAGGUUAAUUGAUGGGGUUAGACUUCGGUCGAAGCUCUUGAUCGAAGCCCCGGUAAACGGCGGCCGUAACUAUAACGGUCCUAAGGUAGCGAAAUUCCUUGUCGGGUAAGUUCCGACCUGCACGAAUGGCGUAAUGAUGGCCACGCUGUCUCCACCCGAGACUCAGUGAAAUUGAAAUCGCUGUGAAGAUGCAGUGUACCCGCGGCUAGACGGAAAGACCCCGUGAACCUUUACUACAGCUUGGCACUGAACAUUGACCCUACAUGUGUAGGAUAGGUGGGAGGCUUUGAAGCACGUACGCCAGUAUGUGUGGAGCCGUCCUUGAAAUACCACCCUUGUAGUGUUGAUGUUCUAACGUCGACCCCUUAUCGGGGUUGCGGACAGUGCCUGGUGGGUAGUUUGACUGGGGCGGUCUCCUCCCAAAGAGUAACGGAGGAGCACGAAGGUGGGCUAAUCACGGUUGGACAUCGUGAGGUUAGUGCAAUGGCAUAAGCCCGCUUGACUGCGAGAAUGACAAUUCGAGCAGGUGCGAAAGCAGGUCAUAGUGAUCCGGUGGUUCUGAAUGGAAGGGCCAUCGCUCAACGGAUAAAAGGUACUCCGGGGAUAACAGGCUGAUACCGCCCAAGAGUUCAUAUCGACGGCGGUGUUUGGCACCUCGAUGUCGGCUCAUCACAUCCUGGGGCUGAAGUCGGUCCCAAGGGUAUGGCUGUUCGCCAUUUAAAGUGGUACGCGAGCUGGGUUUAGAACGUCGUGAGACAGUUCGGUCCCUAUCUGCCGUGGGCGUUGGAAGAUUGAAGGGGGCUGCUCCUAGUACGAGAGGACCGGAGUGGACGAACCUCUGGUGUUCGGGUUGUGUCGCCAGACGCAUUGCCCGGUAGCUAAGUUCGGAAUCGAUAACCGCUGAAAGCAUCUAAGCGGGAAGCGAGCCCUGAGAUGAGUCUUCCCUGAUACUUUAAGUAUCCUAAAGGGUUGUCGGAGACUACGACGUUGAUAGGUCAGGUGUGUAAGUGCUGUGAGGCAUUGAGCUAACUGAUACUAAUUGCCCGUGAGGCUUAACCAUACAACACCCA
rnacentral:rRNA from 1 species